rnacentral:rRNA from 1 species
GACAAACGCUGGCGGCAUGCCUAACACAUGCAAGUCGAACGGACGGAGGAAAGAGGUCUCUUCGGAGUGACCUUUCCCGAGUUAGUGGCGGAUGGGUGAGUAACGUGUGAGUGACCUGCCCAACAGUGGGGAAUAACAGUGAGAAAUCAUUGCUAAUACCGCAUACCUUACAAGUGCUUCAUGGUACCUGUAAGAAAGACGGCCUUCGUGCUGUCGCUGUUGGAUGGACUCGCGUCUGAUUAGCCAGUUGGUGGGGUAACGGCCUACCAAAGCAAUGAUCAGUAGCCGGCCUGAGAGGGUGAACGGCCACAUUGGGACUGAGACACGGCCCAAACUCCUACGGGAGGCAGCAGUGGGGAAUCUUCCGCAAUGGGCGCAAGCCUGACGGAGCAAUGCCGCGUGAGUGAAGAAGGCCUUCGGGUUGUAAAACUCUGUCCUCAUCCAAGAGAAGGAAAGGUAGUAACUGGCCUUUCCAGGACGGUAGAUGAGGAGGAAGCCCCGGCUAACUAUGUGCCAGCAGCCGCGGUAAAACAUAGGGGGCAAGCGUUGUCCGGAAUCACUGGGCGUAAAGGGCGCGCAGGCGGUCUGUUAAGUCAGAUGUGAAAGGUUAGGGCUCAACCCUGAACGUGCAUCUGAUACUGGCAGACUUGAGUAUGGAAGAGGUAAGUGGAAUUCCUAGUGUAGCGGUGAAAUGCGUAGAUAUUAGGAGGAACACCAGUGGCGAAGGCGACUUACUGGGCCAUAACUGACGCUGAGGCGCGAAAGCGUGGGGAGCAAACAGG